UCUGGCUUCACAUCUAUCAUGCAGAGUCUUGCACGAAGUUGUGUAGUAUUACACAUAGCAUUUGUUAAUCUGUCUGUAAAUUAUAAUACUGUUAGGUGUACCAGAUAUCCAACUAGAAGUAUACCCAGCUGUAUAUGAAUGUUUGAAUAUGCUUUUCCAGUUAGCCUUGUUAAGGGAAGCAAAUUGAUCAUUCUAGAUUCAAUAUACCCAG
rnacentral:misc_RNA from 1 species